rnacentral:lncRNA from 1 species
CAGACCAAGCCAGUUGAGGUGAAACGGUUCUGUCCCUUCUGUGAUAGUACAGAGCAUUAUUUGAGUCAAUGCAAAGCAUUUGCUAAACUUACCACUGAUCAGGCCAAAGACUGGAUUCGAGAUAAUAAUCGCUGUUGGCGCUGUGCCAGGACUCAUCAUGCUGCUCAGUGUGACCUGAAAAGGCCCUGCAACCUGUGUCAAGGUAUGCAUCUUCGCCCUCUGCAUAAAGUAAAUGUCAGAUCUUACCAAACGGAUACCGUCAGUGCCAAGAAAAGUUGCCUUACCAGUUCCUCUCCAGACAGAUUUUACCUGAACAAACCUGUUGUUGGGAACCGUGUUAUGCUCAAGGUAGUACCUGUGCAUGUUCAUUAUGAAGACCGUACUUUAGAAACAUUUGCACUUCUGGAUGACGGCUCUGAGAGAACCAUCUUGCUCCCAACUGCUGCCAAAGCCCUGGGCAUACGAGGUACACCUGAAGAUCUCCCUUUGCACACUGUGCGACAAGAUAUUGAAGUUCUUCAUGGGUCCUCUAUCUCCUUUCAAGUAUCCUCAACCCACAAGCCUCAAAUCCUUUACAAGAUUGAACAUGCCUUCACUGCAGAUCGCCUCAAUCUGUCACGACAGUCUUAUCCUGUGGAUCAACUGCAGAAGAAGUAUAGACACUUACGUAAUCUUCCCAUCCGGCCUGUGAAAGAUGCUCAGCCUCUUCUUCUGAUUGGGUCAGAUCAACCACAUCUCAUUACACCAAUCGAGCCUAUCAGAUUAGGUUCUCCAGGUGGACCUGCUGCUGUCCUCACACGCCUGGGAUGGACCCUCCAGGGCCCAGCAUCAUUCAUGGGGUGGCCUGCAUCCUCCCAACAAUGCCUGCUGACAUCGGUCCUUCCACCUCAAGAUGAGCUCUUCAAGAAUGUCCAAAGACUCUGGCAGAUAGAUGCUGUUCCACACAGGGAUGAGAAAGAGGUGACUCGAUCUAAACAAGAUCAGGAUGCUUUUAAGUUACUCGAAACCAAGACCAUCCGCAUCGAAGUAAACGGCAUUCGUCGACUGGCAACGCCCUUACUACGGCAGAAGGGUAUGCCUCAGUUGCAUGCCCCUAAGGAGUCAGUCAUGCCCAAUCUGCGCAGUAUUGAGAAACGUUUGUUGAAGGAUCCAGUUAAAGCAGAGACCUAUAGAGCAGAGAUGGAGAAGCUCAGGCAGACAGGAGCUGUCCAGGAAGUAAGUAGGGAGACAACAGACUCUGACGAAUGUUGGUAUAUACCACACCACAUUGUCAGUCAUAAUGGGAAAUCUCGUGUUGUUUUCAACUGUUCCCACCAAUAUCAUGGGCAAAGUCUCAACCAGUAUCUGUUGCCUGGCCCUACACUUGGCGCAUCCUUGCUAGGUGUACUCAUCAAAUUUAGGGAGCAUCCAGUUGCAGUAAGUGGUGACAUCAAGGCGAUGUUCCAUCAGGUCCGCCUCCUUUCUGAAGAUCGUUCCUUACUGCGGUUCCUUUGGCGUGAUCUGAAAGUGGAUGAACCCCCUAAAGUCUUUGAAUGGCAGGUGUUACCAUUUGGUACUACAUGUAGUCCAUGCUGUGCCACUUAUGCUCUGCAGCACCAUGUGACGGAGCAUAGCAUGACUAGUGAGUCCAUCAGGUUCUCAGUGGACAAAUGUUUUUACGUGGACAACUGCCUUCAGAGUCUGAGCACCCGUGAGGCAGCCAGGUACUUGGUCGAUGGAUUGAGAGAGAUGCUUUGCAAAGCUGGAUUUGAGAUACGACAAUGGGCCAGUAAUGUUCCCAGCGUUGUGUCCUGACCGACACACCAGGAGUGUAUACUGCUGAUAGUUAGAACCAGAGCCUAGCAGUCUUAUUUCCUCUCCAACAAUCUGUAUUGUUAAAAGUGCUAUAUAAA